UCCUUGUUUUUGUGCACAUAGCCCCUGUGCAUUUAUUCACAGCCCAGGUGGCUUUCUCACCUGAUCACUGGGCUGUGAUACCUGUAAGAGUGAGCACAUAUCUCUGCUACAGACUCCAAUCCAGACUCCUGAGCAUACCUGUUGAAUGUUUGAUAAAUUGGGAAGAGGGUUAAAUAGAGUCGAAUGUGAAUUUGAAACAUCUGGAAUGAUGCAAGCUUCGAUCUGCGUCAAAUUGAUCUCACGGGAGCAUUUAUUAUAUCACAAAUUUUAAAAAUGAACUAUGGCGGAUCAAAUUUGCAUCUAAUGUGACGCGAGAUUCCAGUGGAUUAAGGCGUAUUAUCAGUUAAAGGUUUGAUAAAUCGGCCCCCAUGUGUGCUGAUAUAUUGUGUAUUUUUUUCCAUGUACUAAGAAUAUAGUGCCACGUAUGAAAUAUUUUAAAGUGUAUUUCAAGCAUUGAAGAUAAGAUUUGAGUA